rnacentral:rRNA from 1 species
AGUUUGAUCAUGGCUCAGGAUUAACGCUGGCGGCAUGCCUAAUACAUGCAAGUCGAACGAAAGUAGUAAUACUUUAGUGGCGAACGGGUGAGUAACACGUAUCUAACCUACCAUUUAGUGGGGAAUAACUGUUGGAAACGACAGCUAAUACCGCAUAUGUUAUUUAUUUGCAAUGAUAAAUAAUGAAAGGAGCAUUUGCUUUGCUAAUUGAUGGGGAUGCGGCGCAUUAACUAGUUGGUAGGGUAAUUGCUUACCAAGGUAACGAUGCGUAGCCGAUCUGAGAGGAUGAACGGCCACAUUGGGACUGAGACACGGCCCAAACUUCUACGGAAGGCAGCAGUAGGGAAUUUUUCACAAUGGGCGAAAGCCUGAUGGAGCAAUGCCGCGUGACUGAUGAAGGUCUUCGGAUUGUAAAGGUCUGUUGUAAGGGAAGAAGUGCUAGAAUAGGGAAUGAUUUUAGUAUCGACCUUACCUUACCAGAAAGCCACGGCUAACUAUGUGCCAGCAGCCGCGGUAA